rnacentral:rRNA from 1 species
GGCUCAGAUUGAACGCUGGCGGCAUGCUUUACACAUGCAAGUCGAACGGUAACAGGUCUUCGGAUGCUGACGAGUGGCGAACGGGUGAGUAAUGCAUCGGGAACGUGCCCAGUCGUGGGGGAUAACGCAGCGAAAGCUGUGCUAAUACCGCAUACGAUCUAUGGAUGAAAGCGGGGGACCGUAAGGCCUCGCGCGAUUGGAGCGGCCGAUGUCAGAUUAGCUAGUUGGUGGGGUAAAGGCCCACCAAGGCGACGAUCUGUAGCUGGUCUGAGAGGACGACCAGCCACACUGGGACUGAGACACGGCCCAGACUCCUACGGGAGGCAGCAGUGGGGAAUUUUGGACAAUGGGCGCAAGCCUGAUCCAGCAAUGCCGCGUGCAGGAAGAAGGCCUUCGGGUUGUAAACUGCUUUUGUACGGAACGAAAAGGUUCGGGUUAAUACCCUGGGCUCAUGACGGUACCGUAAGAAUAAGCACCGGCUAACUACGUG